CUGCCCUUUGUACACACCGCCCGUCGCUACUACAGAUUGAAUGGCUCAGUGAGGCCUGGAGACUGGCUCAGAGAGGUAGGCAACGACCACUCAGAGCCGGAAACUUGGUCAAACGUGGUCAUUUAGAGGAAGUAAAAGUCGUAACAAGG
rnacentral:rRNA from 1 species